ensembl:snRNA U2 U2 spliceosomal RNA
AUCUCCUUUCAGCCUUUUGGUUAAAAUCAUGUGUAGUAUCUGUUCUUAUCAGUUUAAUAUCUGAUAUGUCCUCUGUCUGAGGACGCUAUAUUAAAUGGGUUUUUGGAGCAGGGAGAUGGGAUAGGAGCUUGCUCUGUCCACUCCAGGCAUUGACCCGGUAUUGCAGUACCUUCAGGAACGGUGCACCCCCU